rnacentral:rRNA from 1 species
UGGGGAAUAUUGCACAAUGGGGGAAACCCUGAUGCAGCGACGCCGCGUGAGUGAAGAAGUAUCUCGGUACGUAAAGCUCUAUCAGCAGGGAAGAAAAUGACGGUACCUGACUAAGAAGCCCCGGCUAACUACGUGCCAGCAGCCGCGGUAAUACGUAGGGGGCAAGCGUUAUCCGGAUUUACUGGGUGUAAAGGGAGCGUAGACGGCAGCACAAGUCUGGAGUGAAAUCCCAGGGCUUAACCCCGGAACUGCUUUGGAAACUGUGCGGCUGGAGUGCAGGAGGGGUAAGCGGAAUUCCUAGUGUAGCGGUGAAAUGCGUAGAUAUUAGGAGGAACACCGGUGGCGAAGGCGGCUUACUGGACUGUAACUGACGUUGAGGCUCGAAAGCGUGGGGAGCAAACAGG